rnacentral:rRNA from 1 species
GGUUAAGCGACUAAGCGUACACGGUGGAUGCCCUGGCAGUCAGAGGCGAUGAAGGACGUGCUAAUCUGCGAUAAGCGUCGGUAAGGUGAUAUGAACCGUUAUAACCGGCGAUUUCCGAAUGGGGAAACCCAGUGUGAUUCGUCACACUAUCAUUAACUGAAUCCAUAGGUUAAUGAGGCGAACCGGGGGAACUGAAACAUCUAAGUACCCCGAGGAAAAGAAAUCAACCGAGAUUCCCCCAGUAGCGGCGAGCGAACGGGGAGGAGCCCAGAGCCUGAAUCAGUGUGUGUGUUAGUGGAAGCGUCUGGAAAGGCGCGCGAUACAGGGUGACAGCCCCGUACACAAAAAUGCACAUACUGUGAGCUCGAUGAGUAGGGCGGGACACGUGGUAUCCUGUCUGAAUAUGGGGGGACCAUCCUCCAAGGCUAAAUACUCCUGACUGACCGAUAGUGAACCAGUACCGUGAGGGAAAGGCGAAAAGAACCCCGGCGAGGGGAGUGAAAAAGAACCUGAAACCGUGUACGUACAAGCAGUGGGAGCCUCUUAAUGGGGUGACUGCGUACCUUUUGUAUAAUGGGUCAGCGACUUAUAUUCUGUAGCAAGGUUAACCGAAUAGGGGAGCCGAAGGGAAACCGAGUCUUAACUGGGCGUUAAGUUGCAGGGUAUAGACCCGAAACCCGGUGAUCUAGCCAUGGGCAGGUUGAAGGUUGGGUAACACUAACUGGAGGACCGAACCGACUAAUGUUGAAAAAUUAGCGGAUGACUUGUGGCUGGGGGUGAAAGGCCAAUCAAACCGGGAGAUAGCUGGUUCUCCCCGAAAGCUAUUUAGGUAGCGCCUCGUGAAUUCAUCUCCGGGGGUAGAGCACUGUUUCGGCAAGGGGGUCAUCCCGACUUACCAACCCGAUGCAAACUGCGAAUACCGGAGAAUGUUAUCACGGGAGACACACGGCGGGUGCUAACGUCCGUCGUGAAGAGGGAAACAACCCAGACCGCCAGCUAAGGUCCCAAAGUCAUGGUUAAGUGGGAAACGAUGUGGGAAGGCCCAGACAGCCAGGAUGUUGGCUUAGAAGCAGCCAUCAUUUAAAGAAAGCGUAAUAGCUCACUGGUCGAGUCGGCCUGCGCGGAAGAUGUAACGGGGCUAAACCAUGCACCGAAGCUGCGGCAGCGACGCUUAUGCGUUGUUGGGUAGGGGAGCGUUCUGUAAGCCUGCGAAGGUGUGCUGUGAGGCAUGCUGGAGGUAUCAGAAGUGCGAAUGCUGACAUAAGUAACGAUAAAGCGGGUGAAAAGCCCGCUCGCCGGAAGACCAAGGGUUCCUGUCCAACGUUAAUCGGGGCAGGGUGAGUCGACCCCUAAGGCGAGGCCGAAAGGCGUAGUCGAUGGGAAACAGGUUAAUAUUCCUGUACUUGGUGUUACUGCGAAGGGGGGACGGAGAAGGCUAUGUUGGCCGGGCGACGGUUGUCCCGGUUUAAGCGUGUAGGCUGGUUUUCCAGGCAAAUCCGGAAAAUCAAGGCUGAGGCGUGAUGACGAGGCACUACGGUGCUGAAGCAACAAAUGCCCUGCUUCCAGGAAAAGCCUCUAAGCAUCAGGUAACAUCAAAUCGUACCCCAAACCGACACAGGUGGUCAGGUAGAGAAUACCAAGGCGCUUGAGAGAACUCGGGUGAAGGAACUAGGCAAAAUGGUGCCGUAACUUCGGGAGAAGGCACGCUGAUAUGUAGGUGAAGUCCCUUGCGGAUGGAGCUGAAAUCAGUCGAAGAUACCAGCUGGCUGCAACUGUUUAUUAAAAACACAGCACUGUGCAAACACGAAAGUGGACGUAUACGGUGUGACGCCUGCCCGGUGCCGGAAGGUUAAUUGAUGGGGUUAGCGGUAACGCGAAGCUCUUGAUCGAAGCCCCGGUAAACGGCGGCCGUAACUAUAACGGUCCUAAGGUAGCGAAAUUCCUUGUCGGGUAAGUUCCGACCUGCACGAAUGGCGUAAUGAUGGCCAGGCUGUCUCCACCCGAGACUCAGUGAAAUUGAACUCGCUGUGAAGAUGCAGUGUACCCGCGGCAAGACGGAAAGACCCCGUGAACCUUUACUAUAGCUUGACACUGAACAUUGAGCCUUGAUGUGUAGGAUAGGUGGGAGGCUUUGAAGUGUGGACGCCAGUCUGCAUGGAGCCGACCUUGAAAUACCACCCUUUAAUGUUUGAUGUUCUAACGUUGGCCCCUAAUCGGGGUUGCGGACAGUGUCUGGUGGGUAGUUUGACUGGGGCGGUCUCCUCCUAAAGAGUAACGGAGGAGCACGAAGGUUGGCUAAUCCUGGUCGGACAUCAGGAGGUUAGUGCAAUGGCAUAAGCCAGCUUGACUGCGAGCGUGACGGCGCGAGCAGGUGCGAAAGCAGGUCAUAGUGAUCCGGUGGUUCUGAAUGGAAGGGCCAUCGCUCAACGGAUAAAAGGUACUCCGGGGAUAACAGGCUGAUACCGCCCAAGAGUUCAUAUCGACGGCGGUGUUUGGCACCUCGAUGUCGGCUCAUCACAUCCUGGGGCUGAAGUAGGUCCCAAGGGUAUGGCUGUUCGCCAUUUAAAGUGGUACGCGAGCUGGGUUUAGAACGUCGUGAGACAGUUCGGUCCCUAUCUGCCGUGGGCGCUGGAGAACUGAGGGGGGCUGCUCCUAGUACGAGAGGACCGGAGUGGACGCAUCACUGGUGUUCGGGUUGUCAUGCCAAUGGCACUGCCCGGUAGCUAAAUGCGGAAGAGAUAAGUGCUGAAAGCAUCUAAGCACGAAACUUGCCCCGAGAUGAGUUCUCCCUGACUCCCUGAGAGUCCUGAAGGAACGUUGAAGACGACGACGUUGAUAGGCCGGGUGUGUAAGCGCAGCGAUGCGUUGAGCUAACCGGUACUAAUGAACCGUGAGGCUUAACCUU